UACGUAGGGUGCAAGCGUUGUCCGGAAUUAUUGGGCGUAAAGAGCUCGUAGGCGGUUUGUUGCGUCGGCUGUGAAAUCCCGAGGCUCAACCUCGGGUCUGCAGUCGAUACGAGCAAACUAGAGUGUUGCAGGGGAGACUGGAAUUCCUGGUGUAGCGGUGAAAUGCGCAGAUAUCAGGAGGAACACCGAUGGCGAAGGCAGGUCUCGUGGGCAUUAACUGACGCUGAGGAAGCGGAAAGCAUGGGGAGCGAACAGG
rnacentral:rRNA from 1 species